CAAGGCGGUUUAAUUGGGUACAGCUGGCUCACGCACACGUGUCGCCCCUCUCCCACUUCUUUGUCCCCCUCUCUCUCUCCUCCUCAGUUCGGAUCGGAUUCUGAUCCACAAUCCGAAGAUCCGGUUCGAGGAAAAAUUCAAACAAAUGAGAUUCGGGGAUCGGAUCGGGUACGCAGGGGGUCAUUUUACCGACCCGAUUUAGGUUAUCGUUACGUGACGGAGAGGAGAAGCUGAGACAGUGCGUACCGUGUCGCCGUCGUCGUCUCCCCACGCUUCGAUCUUAUCCUCCAACCGCGGCGGUUGACGUCAUGUCGCUGCAACCGCACCGAAAUUGAAAAACUAACCGGGAACAAGGAGUUCGGUUGGGUGACGGGGCGGAACGGAACGGAACGGAACGCAACGGCCGCGGCACCACCAAAACCCGUCACGUAAUUCUGUUUCCUCCGUAACAAACACCCUCGCGCGGUGGCCGCCACGUCGGUGCCUCAAUCAACCCGUUUCUCGUGUCCUUUUCUUUAUUUAAAAUUUAUCUGAACAAAAUGGAAUUAAAUAUAUAUUAUACCUUAAAAUUAUCAUGAUUCAUGCACGGUCAUGAUUGUUGUUCACAGAGCAUGGUUGUCAUAUGGCCCCGUGCGAGGCCGCACUCUCAAGUAUAUCAAUUCUUCAAUCAGCACGCUCCACGGGAUAAACGUGCCUUGAGCUCCUCCGACACUUUGGCUAUAACGAUCUACUCUCGAUCUUACAAAUAUGGACACGAUCCGAUGCAGCGGAAGGUGGCCCCUACCAGCUUUGCAGCUCAGUUUGCGCCACGUCGACGAGCCCACCCUGCGCACGGCCGACUCAUGGCCGGCGUCCUCUGGCAGAAACUUUUGACUUGGUUGAAGUUCUUUAUGUGGUUCAGAGUAGACCAAGCGGCAGCCGCGUAGUCCGAUUGUUCAAUUGCCACGACUUGUCAACCUUGAUGUCGCCUUUAGAAAUUUUAUUAGUGCCCUUUGGUGUCAUGCCUCUAUUGACACUAGGAAUUGAAACAUUCAACUCAAGUCACAUAACAUGCGUAAAUUGGCAAAUCAAAUUCGAAUUCAAGUAGCUCAUAUCCUCAUAUUUCACUAAGACGAGGACUAGAUCCGACCGCCCGAUCCAUCCUGACCAAAUUACAUCUCGGAAAGAUGAUCGAGUUGCUUUUCGGAAACUAGUUUGUCUCCCCUGCAAAAACAAUGAUAGGUAAACGCUACACUCGUUGAAAAUCAAUAUUGGUUCUGUUUUUGAAAAGAACAGGGCAACAAGUUGUAGUGGAUUUGGACUCUUUCACUCACUUUUAGGGAGUUUUGAGUGCUUGCUCUUGGUUGGCUUUGCUUCGGUGGGGCAAAAAAGAGAGUAAAAAAAAGGAAGUUGUAAAAGUGAGGGUUGCUUGUGAUAAAGCAUAUUCCUUUCUUAGCGAACUCAAAUCUAUCAUUUAAGGACAAGUUGGGUGAGGGUAUCCAAUGUUGCAUGUCAUCUUAAUGCACUUCAUGUUAUAGAAGGCAAUGCUAAUGGUAAUUAAGAUAAUAAUUUUAUGAAA